UUGCUUUAGCAGCACACAUACUAAAAUUAAAAUGACAGAGAGAAUAUUAGCAGGGUCCUGUGCAAGGAUGGCAUGCAAAUUCCUGAAGUGUUCCAUGUUUUG
ensembl:snRNA U6 U6 spliceosomal RNA